rnacentral:rRNA from 1 species
GACGAACGCUGGCGGCGUGCCUAAUACAUGCAAGUCGAACGCAAAACUUUCACCGAAUGCUUGCAUUCACGAAAGUUUUGAGUGGCGAACGGGUGAGUAACACGUUGGUAACCUGCCCAGAAGAGGGGGAUAAAACUCGGAAACAGGUGCUAAUACCGCAUAAUAACAAAAACCGCAUGGUGUUUGUUUGAAAGUUGGGUUUGCUAUCACUUCUGGAAGGACCCGCGGCGGAUUAGCUAGUUGGUAAGGUAAAGGCUUACCAAGGCAAUGAUACGUAGCCGAACUGAGAGGUUGAUCGGCCACAUUGGGACUGAGACACGGCCCAAACUCCUACGGGAGGCAGCAGUAGGGAAUCUUCCACAAUGGACGAAAGUCUGAUGGAGCAACGCCGCGUGAGUGAAGAAGGUUUUCGGAUCGUAAAACUCUGUUGUUAGAGAAGAACGUGUGUGAGAGUAACUGCUUAUGCAGUGACGGUAUCUAACCAGAAAGCCACGGCUAACUACGUGCCAGCCGCCGCCUAA